rnacentral:misc_RNA from 1 species
UUACAUCUUACAUCCAUGUUAAUAUAUGCAAAGCCAAUUUGUCAAUUUAAACUAGUUUGUAGCUAAAUGCAUGCUAAUUUAUGUUGGUAAAGAAAAACAGAAAAAAAGGCUUGCAGCUCAAAACACGUCAACUAAUUAUGAAAUUCUCUGUGAUGCUAAACUUUUAAUUGAAGAACAUAAAGUGAGGGAUUAUGGAUCAGAACACUUCGUCG